UUAAUAUUUAUUUAUUUAAUUUUUUUUUAUAAAAAUUUAAUUUAUUAAAAAUAAUUAUAUAAUGUAAUAUGUUUUAGUAUAUUUUAUAAAAUAAAUAAAAAUUAAUAAUAGUUUAUUAGUAUUGUUAAAUAAAAUUGAAAUAUAAUGAAAAAUUUUUAUAAUAAAAGAAAAUUUAAUUUAUUGUAUCUUGUGUAUCAGAGUAUAUUAAAUAAAAAAUAUAAAUAUAUUUUUCUCGAUUUUAAAAGAUUUAAUAAAUUAAUAAAUAUAAUGUAAUAAAAUUAUUUUUAAUAAUUUAUUGGAAAUGAAAUGUUAUUCGUUUUUAAAGGUAUCUAGUUUUUUAAGAAAUAAAUUUAAUUUAAAAUUUUAAAAUUUAUUUAUUUAAUUUAUUAAAAAUUAAAUAAUUUUUAAAAUUUAAUAUUUUAUGGGAUAAGCUAUAAAAUAAAUUUUUAUAAAUAAUAAAUAUUAUUUAAUAUAUAAUAUGGUUAGAAUUAUCAAUUUUUAUAAAGUUUGUUAUAAAUUAAUUUUUAUAUAAUAUUAUUUAUUAUAUUUUAAAUUUUUAUUAAAAUAUUUAUUUAAAUAUAAAAAAUAAAUUAAUAAUGAUAUAAUUAGUAUAUAUUUUUGUAUAAUUAAUUUUAUAAAUGUAAAGUUUAAAUAAAGAAUUCGGCAAAAAUAAUAUUCGCCUGUUUAACAAAAACAUGUCUUUUAGAAAUUAAUUUAAAGUCUGACCUGCCCACUGAUUUUUUUAAAUGGCCGCAGUAUAUUAACUGUGCAAAGGUAGCAUAAUCAUUAGUCUUUUAAUUGAAGGCUGGAAUGAAUGGUUGGACGAAAUAUUAACUGUUUCAUUUAAAUUUAUAAUAAAAUUUUAUUUUUUAGUUAAAAAGCUAAAAUUUAUUUAAAAGACGAGAAGACCCUAUAAAUCUUUAUAUAUACAUUAUUUUAUAUUUUAUAAAUGAAUUUUAUUAAAAUAAUAAAUAUAUAUUUUAUUGGGGUGAUAUUAAAAUUUAAAAAACUUUUUAUAAUAUAAAUCAUUAAUAUAUGAAUAAUUGAUCCAUUUUUAAUGAUUAAAAAAUUAAGUUACUUUAGGGAUAACAGCGUAAUUUUUUUGGAGAGUUCAUAUUGAUAAAAAAGAUUGCGACCUCGAUGUUGGAUUAAGAUAUAGCUUUAGGUGCAGCAGUUUAAAGUUUAAGUCUGUUCGACUUUUUAAAUCUUACAUGAUCUGAGUUCAGACCGGCGUAAGCCAGGUUGGUUUCUAUCUUUAAUAAAAUAAUAUAUUUUAGUACGAAAGGAUUAAAUAUAUAAAUAAUUUAUUUUUAAAUAAAGAAUAUAAUUAAUAUUAUU
rnacentral:rRNA from 1 species